UACAGAGGUCUCAAGCGUUGUUCGGAUUUACUGGGCGUAAAGGGCGCGUAGGCGGCCACCGCAAGUCGGUUGUGAAAUCUCUAGGCUUAACCCAGAAAGGUCAACCGAUACUGCGGGGCUAGAGUGCAGAAGGGGCAACUGGAAUUCUCGGUGUAGCGGUGAAAUGCGUAGAUAUCGAGAGGAACACCUGCGGCGAAGGCGGGUUGCUGGGCUGACACUGACGCUGAAGCGCGAAAGCUAGGGGAGCGAACGGG
rnacentral:rRNA from 1 species